UCUCUGCACGGCCCUGUAGCGCUGUGCUGAUUGGCCUGUACCGCUGACACACAACUCAAGACCAAUGGAUGCACGCGUAAAAUGUUUACUUGUGCUGAUUACGCGUUUGAUUUUCUCAGCCUCUGAGUGGUCAAUCAUGUCGAGUUUGGGCUUGUUUGAAAGCUAGAAGUAUCUACAAUUGGUCCAUGUGGGUGUCAAUCAAGUUAGACUGCCCGAUUAAAAUUUAGGAAGCGGGUUGUUCAGCAUAGCCAAAGCAGAUUAGCUUUUUUUUAAGAUGGUGUCUCAGUUUAGUUUAUGGCUAAAUACUAAAUUCCAGAGGGGUGGGAUAUCAAAAAACUUAAUGCAUUUUGAAGAGGACAUUUGUGACUAAAUAUGGAACUUUGCGUUUGUUUUCUUCAAUAAAGCUGAUGGACUUUAUACCGAUGGAAAUGUGCAUGAUUUAUAAAACCGCGAGUGAACUGGAUUUUCGUGUAUGUAGGAAAUGUAAGUGUUUUCAUGGAGAGGUGUGCAUUGUUUGCCCAGCAGGGAGCUCAAACUCCGCCCCUUUCCCAUCCCCCUGCUCACCAGCAGGUGCUGCUCUUCUGCAUGACCUCAGCACGGUGGUAUCCAGACAGUUUGCAGAAUCCAUCAUUACUGUAGACGAUGGGCCAGUC